UCACAACGUAGACAACAGGUAUUACAGCCUCCCUUGCUGCACAUUUCUUCCAAAAGAAUUCUGCUAGCGUGGUAGUACCAUACUGAAAUGUAGUUUCAACCUCUUUUGAUGGAAGCUCUGUAAAGCCAAGCAAGUCCAAGGAGCGAACAAUCUUGAGCCACUAAGUAGACUGUAGCACCAGAGAAGUGAUCUACAAGACCAAUCCCUGUGUGAUCUACCUGCUCUGAUCCUGUAGACUGGACCGUGUGACAGCUCUGCUGGUGUGGACCAUUUAAUGUCCUUCAGCUCCUAUUCCCUUCCAAAGCAGUCUGGUGGAAAGUAAUGUUGUAUCUGCAGUAACGUCUAACAGAUGGCAUGGAAACUGUGGGACAUGGGGUAAUAAAGAGAGUACGUUCUCUAUACUACACACAUGCAUACACACAAAUGAGUGCACAUGGGUUUGCAACCAUUGACCAUUUACACUGUCUUUGACAGAAGCUUAAAUCCUUACCGUUGUGAGAAAUCUCCACAUGCCAAACCUCCACAAAAAACCCAAAUUAUCCAGGAGGCAAGAACAAAAACAUCCAGUCUGUCUAUUCAAAACAAAUAUAUUUUAACAAUUCCGAUGCUAUUAAAAAAGACCAUCUAUAUGCUUCCAUUUUUCAACGAGAUUGAAUUUUCCACAUAAUUAAUUAAUAAAUUUAAACUAUUUUUAGAUAAUGUUAUCUCACAACUGAAGGUUUCCACGGUUCGAUCCAGAGCUUUGGUUACUGUCUGUGCAGAAUUGUGACAUGGUGGAUGGUCCACUUCAUUUGUGUGAAUUACUGUGUUAAUGUGUUUACCUGUAAGUGUGUAUAUGAUGCCUUAUGGUGGGCCAUUUUGUGUAUAUAUGUGUACUUUGUGUCUACCAUCCAGUGUUCCAGGGCUGACUCUGGAUCUUAUAUACAUGAAUGAAAGAAUUUAUGAUCUUGUUUGUUGAGAUUUAUGGUUUAUGUGUUCCCUUAUUUCUUCCAAAUGUAUAGAGCAUGUGUAAAAUGCAGAAAAGCGGAAGCCCAGACAAAAUCAUUUCUUUCCGUAAUGCAAUGCCUUAAGAUA